rnacentral:rRNA from 1 species
AUGGCGCCGUCCACCUCGUCGGCCUCCGCCCUCCUCCACCUCCCGGGUCUGCCUCCCCGGGGACCCCAUAGAGGCGGGUGCCGGAACCACCCGCGGCGGCCGCGCCAUGCGGCCGUGCGGUGCUCCUUCGCGUUCGCGCCCGUGGAGACGGCGAGGAUAAAGGUCGUGGGCGUAGGUGGCGGCGGCAACAACGCCGUCAACCGCAUGAUCGGCAGCGGCCUCCAGGGAAUCGAGUUUUAUGCUAUAAACACAGACUCCCAGGCUCUUGUGAAUUCCCAGGCGCAACAUCCGCUACAAAUUGGAGAACAAUUGACUCGUGGGCUGGGUACUGGUGGAAAUCCUAAUUUGGGAGAACAAGCUGCCGAGGAAUCAAAGGAAGUGAUAGCUAAUGCCCUCCGAGAUUCUGACCUUGUCUUCAUAACAGCUGGGAUGGGAGGUGGUACUGGCUCCGGUGCUGCUCCAGUUGUUGCCCAGAUAGCAAAGGAGGCCGGUUAUCUUACUGUCGGUGUUGUCACCUACCCAUUCAGCUUCGAAGGACGCAAGCGCUCUCUACAGGCACUCGAAGCAUUGGAGAAGCUUGAAAGAAGUGUUGACACUCUGAUUGUGAUUCCAAAUGAUCGGUUGUUAGAUAUUGCUGAUGAGAAUAUGCCCUUGCAAGACGCAUUUCUCCUGGCAGAUGAUGUCCUUCGACAGGGUGUCCAAGGAAUAUCAGACAUUAUCACGAUACCUGGGCUCGUGAAUGUUGAUUUUGCUGAUGUGAAAGCUGUGAUGAAAAAUUCUGGAACUGCCAUGCUCGGAGUUGGUGUUUCUUCCAGCAAAAACCGUGCCCAAGAAGCUGCUGAGCAGGCAACUCUUGCCCCUUUGAUAGGGUCAUCCAUUGAGGCAGCUACUGGUGUCGUGUACAACAUCACUGGUGGGAAGGACAUCACUUUACAAGAAGUGAACAAGGUCUCUCAGAUCGUGACAAGCUUGGCUGAUCCCUCGGCAAACAUAAUUUUCGGAGCUGUGGUCGACGACCGUUAUAACGGCGAGAUCCACGUGACCAUCAUCGCAACAGGAUUUCCGCAGUCCUUCCAGAAGUCCCUUCUGGCUGACCCGAAGGGAGCACGGAUACUGGAGGCGAAAGAAAAAGUGGCUAGCCUCGCAACGGCUGCUGCGGCGCAACAACCGGCGGUGGCCGUCCCGACAUGGUCCCGGAGGCUCUUCUCCUGA